AUUGAACGCUGGCGGCAUGCCUUACACAUGCAAGUCGAACGGUAACGCGGGGUAACCUGGCGACGAGUGGCGAACGGGUGAGUAAUGUAUCGGAACGUGCCCAGCUGUGGGGGAUAACUGCUCGAAAGAGCAGCUAAUACCGCAUACGACCUGAGGGUGAAAGCGGGGGAUCGCAAGACCUCGCGCAAUUGGAGCGGCCGAUAUCAGAGUAGGUAGUUGGCUGGGUAAACGCUCACCAAGCCGACGAUCUGUAGCUGGUCUGAGAGGACGACCAGACACGCUGGGACUGAGACACGGCCCAAAAUCCUACGGGAGGCAGCAGUGGGGAAUUUUGGACAAUGGACGCAAGUCUGAUCCAGCCAUGCCGCGUGCGGGAAGAAGGCCUUCGGGUUGUAAACCGCUUUUGUCAGGGAAGAAACGCUCUGGGUUAAUACCUCGGGGUAAUGACGGUACCUGAAGAAUAAGCACCGGCUAACUACGUGCCAGCAGCCGCGGUAA
rnacentral:rRNA from 1 species